UAGGCUAAUCGGAUGGUUGCUCAUAUUUCAGAUUACUGUAAUUAUGGGAGGAAAGUCCGAACUCUAUAGGACAAAGUGCCUCGUGAUGAGGGAGGACCCUGUAAAGGGAUGGAAUAGUGCCACAGAAAAUAAACCGCCUUUUUUUAAAGGUAAGGGUGAAACGGUGGUGUAAGAGACCACCAGUCUUUCUAGUAAUAGAUUGAGCUGGCAAACCCCACUUGGAGCAAGAUCAAGCAGCUCUGUGUAGUCCUAUCACGUAAGAGCGGGUAGAUUGCAAUAGAUAAAUAACCAUCAUUCUUUAUGAAUACAGAAUUCGGCUUAUAGAUUAGCCUAUUUA
rnacentral:RNase_P_RNA from 1 species